GAUGAACGCUGGCGGCGUGCUUAAAACAUGCAAGUUCAACGCAGUGGCGGAUGGGCGAGUAACACGUGAGGAACCUGCCUUUCACAGGGGAAUAACACUGGGAAACCAGUGCUAAUACCGCAUAGUGAAAGAUGGCCUCGCGCCUGAUUAGCUAGUAGGUGAGGGAACGGCUCACCUAGGUGAUGGUCAGUAGCCGGACGUAUAGUUGAUCGGCCGCAUUGGGACUGAGACACGGCCCAGAGUCCUACGGGAUGCAGCAGUGGGGAAUAUUGGGCAAUGGCGCAAGCCUUACCCAGCAACGCCGCGUGGGGGAUGAAGGCUUUCGGGUUGUAAACCUCUUUCCAUCGAACAGGGUAGGUGGAGAAGAAGCGCCGGCUAACUACGUGCCAGCAGCCGCGGUAAUUC
rnacentral:rRNA from 1 species